AUUGAACGCUGGCGGCAGGCCUAACACAUGCAAGUCGAACGGUAACAGGAAGAAGCUUGCUUCUUUGCUGACGAGUGGCGGACGGGUGAGUAAUGUCUGGGAAACUGCCUGAUGGAGGGGGAUAACUACUGGAAACGGUAGCUAAUACCGCAUAACGUCGCAAGACCAAAGAGCGGGACCUUCGGGCCUCUUGCCAUCGGAUGUGCCCAAAUGGGAUUAGCUAGUAGGUGGGGUAACGGCUCACCUAGGCGACGAUCCCUAGCUGGUCUGAGAGGAUGACCAGCCACACUGGAACUGAGACACGGUCCAGACUCCUACGGGAGGCAGCAGUGGGGAAUAUUGCACAAUGGGCGCAAGCCUGAUGCAGCCAUGCCGCGUGUAUGAAGAAGGCCUUCGAGUUGUAAAGUACUUUCAGCGGGGAGGAAGGGAGUAAAGUUAAUACCUUUGCUCAUUGACGUUACCCGCAGAAGAAGCACCGGCUAACUCCGUGCCAGCCGCCGCAGUAA
rnacentral:rRNA from 1 species